GUCAGGGUCUAGCUCACAAGAUGGAUCCUGUUCCUUACCUCUGUGCUAGAGAGAGAAAGGGCUGAAACACUUAAGAGGAGAACUUUGGAAAAUGAUAGAAAGCAUGAUUGCAACAGGAAGGAGUCUGGAGAAAGGGGAUCCAAAAGCUGAACUGACGGAUGCAAGUGGAUAAGCCUCAAUCUGGAUAGGUAACACUGCAGAGCUUAAAUGGUAAAAGAAAACUACAAGCCAAUCAUACGGAACAGCAUUGUCUGUCAUUUCCAUGACAUAUUCUAGCAUUAAUUGCCAAAAGAUCACACUCCUGGGGUAUUUCCAAAAAAAUGUGACAGAUGUAUGCUCCAGGAUUGCCACAUCUCUAAGUAUUACUUGCCCCUGCAAGAAAGGAGAGGCCCAGUGUUAUGUCAUUGCCAGGGAAGGUGCUGACCCCUGAGUGAGGACAUGAUUCUGACUGAGGGAUGUUGCUCCCCUGCCACACAACCAAGAUUGCCUGAUUUUCUUCCUUACUCUAGCCAAGUUUUUUGCUGCAAGGAUUACCAUGCUACAGUAAUCUGUCUCUGCUGGUGUAGCAUUAUGCUCUGCUGAUUUAAGGAGUUUAGCAAUGAUCCUAUUCUGCCCAGUGGGCACAGGUGGAUGUACAUCAAUUAGCCUCACUUAGAAGCAAACAAAACAAAGCCACUCAGCCAUUCUCUGAGAUUUGUAAAGCUGUUAGAAGGGUCUCAAAUAAAAUUACAG